UAGGUUUUUUGGGGAGGGUGAUGCCUGCCCAGUGACUUAAGUUUAACGGCCGCGGUAUCCUAACCGUGCGAAGGUAGCGCAAUCAAUUGUCUCAUAAAUCGAGACUUGUAUGAAUGGCUAAACGAGACCCUAACUGUCUCUUGCAGGUAAUCAAUGAAAUUGAUCCCCCUGUGCAAAAGCAGGAAUUACAACAUAAGACGAGAAGACCCUGUGGAACUUAAAAAUCUCUGGUCAAUGCUAUCACUUUCCUAACCUAAUGGCCCACCCCACAUGCAUUCCUUUGACCCUAAUUUUUCGGUUGGGGCGACCUUGGAGUAUAAAUAAGCCUCCAAAAAUAAGACCACCUUGUCUUAACUUAGAGCCUACACCUCAAAGUACUAACAGUAACCAGACCCAAUAUAAUUGAUUAAUGGACUAAGCUACCCCAGGGAUAACAGCGCAAUCUCCUUCAAGAGCCCCUAUCGACAAGGAGGUUUACGACCUCGAUGUUGGAUCAGGACAUCCUAAUGGUGCAGCCGCUAUUAAGGGUUCGUUUGUUCAACGAUUAACAGUCCUACGUGAUCUGAUUUCAGACCAGA
rnacentral:rRNA from 1 species